UUUGAUAUUCUUUUAAUCACAUCAUAACUUAUACUUAUAAGUUAUUCAUUUUUAUAUGUUAUCCUAGUAAAUUAGAUAACAUCUUAGUAAACCGAAAUACCAUUUCAGUAAGACGGAUUUUAUUUCAGUAUCCCGAAAUCACUAUUCUUUUUCACGAAAAAUACCAAAUCAACUUAUUAUUUUUUUAUCCUUUGGUCAAACAUAUAUACAUGUAUUUCAUACAUAAAAAAUAUUUUUCCGUAAUUUUUCAAUUUCUUUUACUAUUUUUCAAAAAUCAUAAAUAGUGCGUGACUUAAGAAAAUUAGCUACCUCGUGCUUAACUCUAGAGAUGCCCAUCUUUUGACAUAACCUUAUAUAUGUUAACGUGAUGCUCCAUUUUAAAUUUCGUGGCAAUCAGAGUUGUUGAACUCUGGUUAUAGCGAUUUCCGUCGGAAAAUCACAAAAAUUAGAAUAGUCAUAAUUUAGCCGUUUUAACUCGGAAUUAGCUCAUUUUUGGACACGAGCUACAUAAUACCACAUAUUUUCAUUUCCCGAAAGCCCGGAAUUUUUCUCACAAAAUAAAUUACCGAAAC
rnacentral:lncRNA from 1 species